UCGAGUUUUCAUUGGACGAAUCUUCGCUCCAACUUCGAAGUGACCAAUCAGAGUGCAGCAUUCCCUACCUUGGGCUUGCGCGGCCCUUUGCAUAAGUAGCGUGGGCAUAGGGAAUUUGUACAGGCUGUCUAUCUAGCGUCGUGCAUUGGGUGCAUACAUAGGUUUACCAUACAUAUCACGCACUGUGUAUUACAUCCGUACUGCACUGCGAUAGCGUCUCUACACUGAUUCACUAAAAAAGAUCCUUCGCCCAGCGUAAACAACAUCUGAGAGAUUUCCAAGAUGGGAAGAAAAGAUCCCAACAAGCCCAAGGGGCGUAUGUCGUCUUAUGCGUUCUUUGUCCAGUUCUGUCGAGAGGAGCACAAAGAGCGCAACCCGGGCCAGUCCGUCAACUUCACCCAGUUCUCCAAGAAGUGCUCAGAGAGAUGGAAGACCAUGGAUGAUGGCGAGAAGAAGAGGUUCCUUGAGUGUGCAGACUGCGACAAGAUGCGUUAUGAACGGGAGAUGGCCCGCUACGUGCCACCCAAGGGCACCAAGAAGAGGGGACGCAGAAAGAGAAAGGACCCCAACGCGCCCAAACGCAACCUGUCAGCUUUCUUCCUGUUCAGCAACGAUGAGCGAUCCAAAGUGAAGGCUGUCCACCCUGACUGGGGCAUCGGUAAGAUUGCCCAGGUGUUGGCAGAGCAGUGGAGAAAUGUGUCGGCAUCCCAGCGGGCCAAGUAUGACAAGGCUGCUGUACAAGACAAGGAGCGAUAUGUCAAGGCGAUGGCAGAGUACAAAGCCAAGCCAGUAAAGAAGAAGAGCUCCUCCAGUUCCUCCUCCUCUUCCUCCUCCAGCUCCAGCUCAAGUAGCUCCAGCUCCAGCGACGAGGAGUAAACCUCAGCACCACCCUAACAAACCACCGAUUCUCCGGACUAUCAUGUCUGAUCAGAACAAACAGCCUUCAAUUUGAUUCAGGACCUCAUUUAAGUUCAUUUCAAUCAUCAGUCACAUGCAACAUGAGUCAUUAGCCUUCUUAAGAUAUGGCAGGUACAAGAGGAGGGGAGGGUGCUAGUUACAGGGGUAAGAUUGGAUAAACAAGGGUGAAACUUGUCAGGAUUUUUUCUGAACUCAGGAUUUUUCCUGAUUUCAGGAUUUUUAAAGCAUCCCUUUUGAAAUCUGGAAUCCCUGAGGUUUUACCGUAAAGGUGUUUUUACCUAUGAAAGUUUAAAUAGAACAAAAGAAAUGGGUAUUGUAAGGGGUGCCUUCAGGCAACAAAAAAAAACACUGGGGCCUUCAGCAACCCUCAAACCCCUUGCUGAUUAUUUCGUGCAUUUUCGUUUUCCCCUAAAUCUCAACUCCUGGUAAUAACAAAAGAGUUUGCCCACUCUACAUAUAUGUAGUGCCCUUCUAUUGGGUCCACAGUAUCUCAAAAAGGCUAAUUCAAAAACAAGGCAUACUGGCACUGGGUCGUGCUGUUUUCAUAUUUUUGUUCAAACACCAGUGAGCAUAAACUUAUUAUGUAGCAGUAGCACUCAACGUGACAAUUUCAGUUGCAUGUCAACAUGAACCACUGGAAAGUGGAAAAAAAAUUAAAGUGAUUUUGGGGUUAUCAAAAAGAAAACAAAAUUGGCAUGCCUGGAUAGGUAGGUGCAGUGGAUGGGUGUCACUCACAUAUUUUUAUGUGGUUUGGACUUGUUUUCUACCUCAUAAAUAAAUUCUGCUUUACGAAUUCGAUCCAAAAAUGAGUUGUGGCAAACAAGAAGGUGAAACCAAAAUGCCAAGAGCACAGUGAUACAUGUACCAAGAUGGAAGAUACUUUGAAACUGAAGUCCUGUAAAUUGUAAAGAAUCCUCUGAAAUGUUGACAAUCUUGUAGCAGUUGAUGAACCCUGGUACAGCAAUAUGCCUACAAAAAAAAUUGUGGUAAAAAGUAAAUGUCAGAAAUAUUUUUGCGUAAUCUCCUGCAGCAUUUAUAAUCUAGACAUAAAUUCAGGCUUAUGGGCCGGUUCACACAUUCAUUCAAAUGUGAAGUGAUUUUUGUUGACGUCACAAAAUAUUCGCUUCGAAAUCCCCCCCCCCCGACUUAAUAUGUGUGGUGAAAAAAAGUGGUGUCAGGAUCUAGUAUUCUUUCAUAAUCCCCGUUCGGACAGUGGUAAUAAAUAGUAAGAUUAAUAACAAAGUUGUUUUCGAAUUCAUGAAUACCUGAGACAGUUUACCCAUUCCUAUUGGUCAAGAGCACGUCACGUGGGUGGUUUUAAAUUGGCGGUAAAACACCGCUGCGUUCUGUGCCACAUCGCGCGUACACACGCCAGGCUAGACGUGGCCAGAGUAGCGCUUCACAAAAUAUGAGAA
rnacentral:misc_RNA from 1 species